rnacentral:rRNA from 1 species
CCUACGGGGGGCUGCAGUGGGGAAUAUUGGACAAUGGGGGGAACCCUGAUCCAGCCAUGCCGCGUGUGUGAAGAAGGCCCUCGGGUUGUAAAGCACUUUCAGUGAGGAAGAACGCCUGGUGGUUAAUACCCAUCAGGAAAGACAUCACUCACAGAAGAAGCACCGGCUAACUCCGUGCCAGCAGCCGCGGUAAUACGGAGGGUGCGAGCGUUAAUCGGAAUUACUGGGCGUAAAGCGCGCGUAGGUGGCUUGAUAAGCCGGUUGUGAAAGCCCCGGGCUCAACCUGGGAACGGCAUCCGGAACUGUCAAGCUAGAGUGCAGGAGAGGAAGGUAGAAUUCCCGGUGUAGCGGUGAAAUGCGUAGAGAUCGGGAGGAAUACCAGUGGCGAAGGCGGCCUUCUGGACUGACACUGACACUGAGGUGCGAAAGCGUGGGUAGCAAACAGGAUUAGAUACCAGUGUAGUC